UCUUUUUUCAUUUCAAUAUUCAGGAUUAUGUUUGGGUUGUGUCUUUUGCUAUUAUGGCUCAAAUCUCUUAAUAUAACCUUGCAAUAUACAAACGUUUCUUAAAGUUAUUUUCAUUACUUUUGUGUUGCUGCAGCCUAUACUCAGCGAUUUUAAAUUUUGCAUGCGUCAGAAUCUCCAGAGAAACUCCUAGUGUUUCUGAUUCUAGUGGUAUGGACUAAGACCGAAGAAUCUGCAUUUCUAAUGAGGAGAUGGAUUUUGGGGAUCAUCUUGGCCAUCCACAACCUGGAUCACUGCCUUCCAAGCUGGUCCUGAGACUCCUUGCCUGACUCAUCUGCUAUGUUUGCAUCUGGCCAGUCAAGUCUACAGGUUAUGUGGACUAUAGGGCAUCGUAAGGCUCUGAAUGGAAUGAGAAUUUCAGAUCGAACUUGGGACCUUAUGCUUGUGAGGCAGGCGGUGGAAACACUGAGGUGAAUCCUGACCCCAACUCCUCUGUCUCUUCAUCGAUCCAAGUGUCAAAAUUUUUUGCCUUAUCAACUUUAAAAAUUAUUUUAUAUAUUUUAACUUUUAUAUUUACUACAAAUAAAAAUUUUAUCCAUUUUCUCUUUCUCCAUUACUCUUAAUUUU
rnacentral:lncRNA from 1 species